CCUACGGGAGGCAGCAGUGAGGAAUAUUGGUCAAUGGUCGGGAGACUGAACCAGCCAAGCCGCGUGAGGGAGGAAGGUACAGAGUAUCGUAAACCUCUUUUGUCAGGGAACAAAGACUGGGACGCGUCCCCGGAUGAGUGUACCUGAAGAAAAAGCAUCGGCUAACUCCGUGCCAGCAGCCGCGGUAAUACGGAGGAUGCGAACGUUAUCCGGAUUUAUUGGGUUUAAAGGGUGCGCAGGCGGUCUGUUAAGUCAGCGGUCAAAGCCCGGGGCUCAACCCCGGUCCGCCGUUGAAACUGGCAGUCGCGAGUUGAGGCGAAGUAUGCGGAAUGCGCGGUGUAGCGGUGAAAUGCAUAGAUAUCGCGCAGAACUCCGAUUGCGAAGGCAGCAUGCCGGCUCCACACUGACGCUGAGGCACGAAAGCGUGGGUAUCGAACAGGAUUAGAUACCCCGGUAGUC
rnacentral:rRNA from 1 species